rnacentral:lncRNA from 1 species
GUUAAUGGCAAUCCACAUAUCCAUAUCAUGGAUUUAUAACAAACACCUUAAAGACCAAAAUAUAAUAAUCACAGGAGAUACAAGAAAUGGCAAAUAAACAGAUGAUCAACAGAUAUCGAGUAAGGGCUGAGAGUAUUUUUUAUUGAUUUAAAAUGAAUGCCUAUCUAUAUGAACAUGUAAAAUUACAAAAAUUUAAAGAAAUAUCUUUAGGCCAUAAACAAGAAAUUGUAAUUUUCUAAAAACAACGAAAACCAGAAGAGAAAUCAAAAUUACUGGUUAAUGUAUUCAAAUAUAAAUUACAUAAUUUAUCAAUCAUAACUUUACAUAAUUAAAGUUAAGAAAGACAAAUGCAUCUUGUUCGCUCGUCUUCAUGAUUCACGAUGCUCUUCUUCAUAAUGCAUCAUAUGGAUUAAACACACUCAACCAAAAAUCUAGAAAUGAAUGCAAUUGCUUCGCAUAAUAUAAAAAGUGAUAAGUUUGAUAAUCUAAACACCUUAAAGACCAAAAUAUAAUAAUCACAGGAGAUACAAGAAAUGGCAAAUAAACAGGUGAUCAACAGAUAUCGAGUAAGGGCUGAGAGUAAUUUUUAUUGAUUUAAAAUGAAUCUAUAUGAACAUGGAAAAUUACAAAAAUUUAAAGAAAUAUCUUUAGGCCAUAAACAAGAAAUUGUAAUUUUCUAAAAACAAUGAAAACCAGAAGAGAAAAUAGAAAUUAAUUUUUUUUUUUUUUGUAACUAGAAAAUAGAAAUUAAUACCUUCUUAAAAAUUGUAAUCAGAUUCAUCCCAUCAGAAAAUUUUUCACAAGAAAAAAACAAAUCAUCAUCAUCAUGAAUCAUGAAAAAUGCUUGAUCCGUGUUGUAGUUUUGUUAAAGAAAAAAAUCAGAAAUAGAGAGUGAGAGCGAGAGAAAGAGAUAAACAGAUUGAUGAAGAUCUCUAAAGAUAGAAAUGAUUUUGUU